rnacentral:rRNA from 1 species
AUUGAACGCUGGCGGCAGGCCUAACACAUGCAAGUCGAGCGGAUGAAGGGAGCUUGCUCCUGGAUUCAGCGGCGGACGGGUGAGUAAUGCCUAGGAAUCUGCCUGGUAGUGGGGGGUAACGUCCGGAAACGGGCGCUAAUACCGCAUACGUCCUGAGGGAGAAAGUGGGGGAUCUUCGGACCUCACGCUAUCAGAUGAGCCUAGGUCGGAUUAGCUAGUUGGUGGGGUAAAGGCCUACCAAGGCGACGAUCCGUAACUGGUCUGAGAAGAUGAUCAGUCACACUGGAACUGAGACACGGUCCAGACUCCUACGGGAGGCAGCAGUGGGGAAUAUUGGACAAUGGGCGAAAGCCUGAUCCAGCCAUGCCGCGUGUGUGAAGAAGGUCUUCGGAUUGUAAAGCACUUUAAGUUGGGAGGAAGGGCAGUAAGUUAAUACCUUGCUGUUUUGACGUUACCAACAGAAUAAGCACCGGCUAACUUCGU